CGUAGGUUAAAAGUGUGUGAAUAGAUAUUGUGUUGCCAUGAGUAUUUCAUGUUUGUUACACAACAAUCAAUAUUAGCUACAUUUUGUUCUUCAUCCGAGUGAACAAUAAAGAUGUAACUGUGUUGCUGAUAAAACAACCAUGAUACUGACAUAUAUGUAUGUUUAUCCAGAUAUUAAUAGCGGCAAACCAUUUUGCUAACUUAGUAAUUAGGCUGAGGGCCUGUAAUGUAAGCAAAUUAAAAUUCUUCUUAAAGAUUAACUCAUCUGUGACCAAUGACCACUCCACAAUUUAGAGCCCACUACAAAUAUGUCAAGCUUGUAUUCAAGGCCCAUUUUGAGCAUCUCACAGUAGCUAUUUCUAGCUAUGUAGCUUCUCAUUGCUUUUUGGACUAAGGAUUUUCCAUUAGCAUUCAACGUGUUACGCCUGGUAUAACGCUGCUGGAAGAACUCCGGCAAUGGUUAUACAAAGUAUGGAAUUGGUUG